rnacentral:rRNA from 1 species
GAUGAACGCUAGCGGCAGGCCUAACACAUGCAAGUCGAGGGGUAGAACACUUCGGUGUUUGAGACCGGCGCACGGGUGCGUAACGCGUAUGCAAUCUACCUUGUACAGGGGAAUAGCCCAGAGAAAUUUGGAUUAAUGCCCCAUAGUAUAUAACCUUCGCAUGUUGGUUAUAUUAAAGUUCCAACGGUACAAGAUGAGCAUGCGUCCCAUUAGUUAGUUGGUAAGGUAACGGCUUACCAAGACGAUGAUGGGUAGGGGUCCUGAGAGGGAGAUCCCCCACACUGGUACGGAGACACGGACCAGACUCCUACGGGAGGCAGCAGUGAGGAAUAUUGGUCAAUGGGCGCAAGCCUGAACCAGCCAUGCCGCGUGCAGGAAGACGGUCCUAUGGAUUGUAAACUGCUUUUAUACAGGAAGAAACAACUCUACGUGUAGAGUCUUGACGGUACUGUAGGAAUAAGGAUCGGCUAACUCCGUGCCAGCAGCCGCCGUAAUAC